UACAGAGGUCCCAAGCGUUGUUCGGAUUCACUGGGCGUAAGGGUGCGCAGGCGGCCAAGUGUGUGAGGCGUGAAAGUCCGGGGCUUAACCCCGGAAUUGCACCCUCAAACUACAUGGCUAGAGCAUUGGAGAGGGUAGCAGAAUUCCCGGUGUAGCGGUGAAAUGCGCAGAUAUCGGGAGGAACACCAAUGGCGAAGGCAGCUCGCUGGGACGGUACUGACGCUGAGACGCGAAAGCGUGGGGAGCAACAGG
rnacentral:rRNA from 1 species